UGGAGCAAAGUAAAUAACAGAAUAUAUGAGUAAUAAUUAUUCUUGUUCUUGAUAUGGUGUUCCUAAAGUAAUAGUUCUCUGAUGACGGUAAAACUUUAAGAUAAAAUUUACCGACAGAUACGGAAUUAACAAAU